rnacentral:lncRNA from 1 species
AGGGUUGGCAAAAAAGCUCUCUACUAAUGCAUAAAAGUAAAUGCUCAAACCUAAAAAAACUAUUUUCUAUUCUAAAGCAUGAAAAGAGACAAGUAAUAAAAGACUUAAAGACAAUGUAUUUAUAGUUUUCUUCUCUUGGGCCGUCUAGGGUUUGCAGAAUAAGUAAGGGAAUGACUUGUGCCUGAAAAGGGCCUCUUAUGGUCGGAAUAAGGCCUACUGCGAGUGAGGAAGUCAGAGUCACGGUGCAUGCUCCUCCGACCGCGGCUGAUGACAGCUUCACCUUCGGGGUUAUGUUCAUUUGCAUUCAGUGCAUCGGGAUAUCUGAGAUCUAACUGUUGCAUUGCGUCCAAUCCAAUUGCCUUAGAAAGGUGAUUGCCUCCUUUAUAUUGUAUUCAUAUUUGGGGAUGAUCAGACGGUGAAAAUGUAUUCCUUAGUUGCCAAACUUCUGACGGUCUGAAAUUAUCCAAAAAAGUACUUUUGCUCUAUAAUGCACUCCUUAAGUAUAAGUUCAAGUCUUUUAAAACUCUAAAACAUAAAAAUCACUUAUAAACAUCAAUAAUUAAAACACUUGCAUAAGACAUUAAUAACGAUCCAUAAAAAAUUGUAAAAAUCGAGUGUUACCAACUCCCCCAGACUUAGUCUUUUGUUUGUCCUCAAACAAAAUAGAAAUCUAAUCCUAGAAAAAAGGUUUGAAAAAUGCAUGAACUAAAAACAAAUCUUAGAAGCUGUCCUUCUAAAUCAUAACCAAUCAUAAUGCAUCAAUCGGGUCUAGACUAGAAAAUAACACUAAAGUACAAGCAUCACUACUAACCCAUUGAUCUUUCGUGCAAAAAUCUGCACACUUAGACCUAACUUCGAGUCGACUAUCUCUUAACAUCCAUUAAAAAUUCUAGUGGUUCUCACCAAAAGAAAAUAAACAGGGCAAUCAAGCCAAGGUAUUUAAAGGGCUUUUAGAGCUGAGGUUUACAGUGUUUAGGAUUACCUUAAUUUCUGAAGAAGCAAGAUAUUAUGCAAAACAGCAAGAGAUAAUAGAGCUGUUGACAUCCACAGUUUCCAGUCACUUCCUCUUUUUCAUAGAAUCUCUGAUCUUCUUCUUUAAGUUCUCCUCAUAACUCUCUUAGACUUAGUUUUUUC